ACUGGUGGGACAAGCCUACACUAAGGCUGAGCAUUCAUAAUUAAUAAUAAUCUUCAUCUUUUUAUUUGUGCGCUGGUUGGAGGCCCAACGAAAAUUCCAACUACAUUGAUGUCAUAAACAAAACGUACCUGAAAGAUGUUUACAGAACAGUUUACCCAAACACGAAAUAAGGUACCAUCUUUUUAGAAGCUCAUGGAAAUUUCUCAAAAAUUGACCUCACAAGCACACAAGUGUUAACUAAUAGAAGAAAACUGAACUAACUCCCUGCAUCCUGUCUCACUAGCACUGUUUAGAUCUGAACAUCAGCAACAGAAACAACAGAAAGCUUAUAAGCUUAUUGAAGCUAAACAGCUCACUCACUACUCAGUGAAAAAUGGGUCAAAAAAGAAAUUUAAAACUUCCUAGAGUUGACUGAAAAUGAAAACACAGUGUAUUCAAACUGACAGGACAUUAUGAAGGCAGUUUUAAGAGGCAAACUCAUGGCACUAAGUAACUAUAUAAAGAAAUCAGAGCAAUCCCAUUCUAGUAACUUAAUAGCACACCUGAAAGAUAUAGAACAAAAAGAAAUCACACCCUAAAGAAGUAGACAGCAAGAAAUAAUCAAACUCUGGGCUAAAAUCAAUAAAAACAUUACAAAGAAUCAAUGAAACAAAGAGUUGUUUGAGAAAAUCAGAAAGAUUGACAAACUCUUAGUCAAAUUAACUAAAAGGUAGAGAGAGAGAAUAUCCAAAAUAACAAAAUUAGAUAUGAAAGGGGAGACAUAAAAGCACACACCAAGGAAAUUCAGAGAAUCAUAAACUUUAAAAGCCAAUAAUCCACCAAACUGAAAUUUUAUAUUUUUUUUAUAUAGACCACCUACCAAAGUUAAAUCUAGAUCAGAUAAGCAAUUUAAACAGAUUUAUAACUUCAAGUGAAAUAGAAGCAGUCUUUACUAGUCUCCCAACCAAUAUAGCUUAGGGACCAGAUGGUUUUAGUGCAGAAAUCUAUCAGACUUUCAAAGAAGAGUUAACCAAGGCUUCUCAUAUUAUUUCACAAAAUAGAAACGGAAUAGUUCCCAAUUCAUUUUAUGAGGCCAUAGUUACCCUGAUACCAAAACCAUAUCGAGACCCAAUGAAAAAAAUUACAGACCAGUUCCCCUUGUGAACAUAGAUGCAAAAAUACUCAACAAAAUACUUCAUACCAAAUCCAAGAACACAUCAGAAAGAUCAUCCACCAUGAUCAAGUAGGUGUCAUCCCUGAGAUGUAGAGAUGGUUCAACAUAUAUAAAUUGAUAAAUGUAAUCCACCAUAUAAACAGACUGAAAGACAAAAACCACAUGGUCAUCACAUUAGAUAUAGAAAAGGCCUUUAACAAAAUCCAACACUCCUUCAUGAUAAAAGUCCUGGAGAGAUUAGGGAUAGAUACACAGGACAUAUCUAAACACAAAAAAAAGGCAGGCAACAGCAAGCGUACACCCAACAUCAACUUAAAUGGAGAAAAGCUCAAAGAAAUUCCACCAAAAAUCAGCAGCAAGACAAGGUUGCCCACUCCAUACUUAUUCAAUUUAGUACUUGAAGUUUUAGCUAAAGCAAUAAGACAACUAAAAGAAAUCAAAGGGAUACAAACUGGAAAGGAAGAAGUCAAAGUAUUAUUUUUAGAUGAUAUGAUCGUAUACAUAAGUGACCCUAAAAAUUCCACAGGGAAUUCCUACAGAUGAUAAACAAUUUCAGUAAAGUAGCUGGAUACAAAACUAAAAAAAAUAAUCGUCAGCCCUCCUAUAUACAAAUGACAAAUGAACAGAGAAAGAAAUCAGGGAAAAGAAUACCUUUCUCAAUAGCCUCAAAAAUAUAAAAUACUUUGGGGCAAGUGAAAGACUUGCAUGAUUAAAACUUUAAGGUGAAAAAAGAAAUUGAAGAAGAUACCAGAAAAUGGAAAGAUCUCCCAUGCUCAUGGGUUUGUGAGAUUAAUAUAGUAAAAAAAAAAAUGGCUAGUCUACCAAAAGUAACCAACAGAUUCAACACAAUCCCCAUCAAAAUCCCAACACAAUUCUUCACAUGUAUUAAAAGGACAAUUUUCAGCUUCAUAUGGAAACACAACAAAAUUCAGAAGAGCUAAAAAUCCCAAACAAUCCAAGAACUGCUGGAGGUAUCACCAUCCCCAAUGUCAAAUUUUGCUAUAGAGCUAUAGCAAUAAAAUUAGCAUGGUAUUGGCACAAAAGCAGACAUAUUGAUCAGUGGAGUUGAACUGAAGACCGAAACAUAAAUCCACACACAUAUGGACAUCUGACUUUUAAAAAAGAAGACAUAAAAACACACUGGGAAAAAGACAGCGUCUUCAACAAAUGGUGCUGGUCAAAUUGGAUGACUGUAUGUAGAGAAUCCUAACAGAUCUAUGCUUAUUACCCUAUACAAAACUCAACUCCAAAGGAAUCAAAGACCUCAGCAUAAGACCUGAUACACUGAAUCUGACAGAAAAGAAAGCGAGGAGUACCCUUGAACUCAUUGGCACAGGAAAAGACUUUAUAAACAGAACCACUGUUAGCACAGGCAUUAAGAUCAACAACUAACAGAUGGUACCUCAUCAAACUGAAAAGUUUCUGCAUGGCAAGGGACACCACCAUUUGAACAAAGUGGCAGCCUACAGAAUGGGGAGAGAAUUUUUUUUUUUUUUACCAACUACGUUUCUGAUAAAGGACUAAUAUCCAAAUUAUAUAAAGAACUCAACCAGGCAGUGGUGGCCUUUAAUCCUAGAAUUCGAGAGGCAGAGACAAGCAUAUUUCUGUGAGUUCAAGACCAGCCUGGUCUAGAGUCAGUUCCAGAACAUGUUCCAUGGCUACACACUAAAUAACCCAGGUUGUUGCAAUAGCUACAGGUUGCUCUCCAAAAUCUGAUGGUGAGGCCCUAUUGCUAAAAAUAACACUUACAUAAUUCAUUGAAUGUAGUCAAGUUGAGCUGGUGCCUGCCUAGAACCUUCACCCCAUUGGCUAGUGUUUUUGGUAAAGGAAGGUACUCUGCAUGCUACCAAAGGAGAAAGGUAAACAUCAAUCCAACUACAAAUCCUUCCAUCUACAAUGGUGUCCUCUCUGCAAGUUAUGUUAGUGCAAUGCUGGCACAAAGCUUGUAGGAGUAGCCAAUAUCUGAUCUGACUUGAGGCUCACUCCAUGAAAGAAACCAUACCCCAAACUGCUUGGGUGUCUAAGAAGCUGAGACUCGAUAGCUCAGGGACCUAGUGUAAAACCAAAAUCUACUGAUCUUUAAAAAGAAACAAAAAAAGUCGCAAUAAAAUGACUCCCAGUGACAUUCUACUAUACUCAUAGAUCAGUGCCUUGUUCAGCCAUCAUUAGAGAGGCUUCCUCCUGCAGCAGAUGGGAACAAAUACAGAGAGCCACAGCCAGACAGUGUGCAGAUAUUGAGAGAACUUGGAACACUCAGACCUAACAGGUUGUCUCCAUCAAAUCCCUCCCUGCCAAGGCUCAGGGAACCCUACAGAAGAGAAGGCAGAGUAUAAGAACCAGAGGGAAUGGAAGAUACCUAGGAAUCAAAAUCUAAACACAAGACUAACGCACAUAUGAACACACAGAGACUGAGGCACCAUGCCCAGGGCCUGAAGCUAUCUCCAAUUGAUAACCAUUUACAAGUGAAAAUUAAGUUUUCUCCUAGGGAGUCUCACCAGGAAGACAAACUACUCCUAAGGGUAGGCUGAAUACUAACAGUGGAUGGUCAGCAGAGAGUGAACCCAGAGGUGUAUAGGAGGCUCCUUGUCUCAUCAUGUCCUGCCAGGGCCUUUUAUUAUUGAUUUUUAUUUAGUUUUUUUUCCUCUUUACAAGUUUAGUGUAUAUAAUAUGGCUUCCAGUUUUGUGUUUUUAUGGGAUUCCUGAAUACGUGAGCAAGUGGGUCUCUGUGUCUAUUUCUAAUUCUUGGGCCUUCUUUUGGGCUCUUUUCCUUCUAUUUGUUUGUUUUGUCCUAUUCCAAUUUGUUUGUGUUCUAUUAUGUUUUAUUUUAUUAAAUAAAUAUUAAUAAAAUAUUAUUUUAUGUUAUUGAAGAUAAAAGUCCGAGUUGGCAAAUGGACACUUUCCCAAUGAAUCAGAAUGUGGGAAUUUUCAUUCUAAACUCCAGUAAGUUACAGCAAAGUCGUUUCAACCAUAUAAGUAAUGAAUGUUGCUAUGGUCGCACUAAAGAACAGGAGUAUGCAUUUUAUUAAGUAAAAGAGUUGUUUAGUGAGAGACAUCUUUCUUUUUGCAGAGUAGUUCACCUGUUUUCUAGAACUGAAAUGAAGGUCUGCUGACCGUGUCCAGGGAUGACCGUGAACAGGCUGCAGUCUGUGUACUGGGGAGAAAGGGGGAAUUCCCACAAGGGUUUGUUUUUUUCCCCAGAUGAGUAUUGGCAUACUAUCUUCAGCUUAUAAACUACUAUUGGCUAUAUUUUUAUUUCAAACAUCUCCUUUUCCUUGUCAAAAAUAACUUUAAUAUUUCCUCCGGCAUUUGGAUUUAUCCAAAAUGUUAUCCUAACAUUCAGGAAGCAAGCUUGGGCAUUUCGGUGUCUUCAGCGUGGAGAGGGUCAUGGUGUUUGGAGCAGGUGAACAGAAUGGCCCUGUGACUUCUCAGCUCUCUUUUCAGCUUCUGGAGUCUGUGUGCCAGUUUUAAACAGAUGGCGUUGUUAUACGGCUUGCCUUCCUUCUCUAUAACUUCCUCCAAGGAAAUCAGCCUGCGCUCUAUAACCUCCCAUCCAAACACAGCAAGUGAAGCAUGGGACACCGCUUCAUUUCCUCCAGAGGAGACAUGGCAAAGAUUCUCUCCGCUCUGGAAUUCAAGGUUGAAUGACAGCUGCUUCUUAAAGAAAUUGUAGGGGCUUGUGGGAUAGCUCAGCAGGCAAAAGCGCUUGCCACCAAGCCUGCUUACCUGAGUUUGAUUCCUGGAAGCCAGAUGGGGGAGGGGAACACCAGUUCCUGCAAACCACACUCAGGCCAAGGUGACACACACCUCGUGUGCGCACACACACACAGACACACACACAUCCAUGAAGGAAAGGAAUUAUAAAACCUUUGUAUAUAGGGAGAGGAGAGGAAGGAAGGGGAGUGGGAGGAAUGUAUAACUUAACAAAAACAAUUUUAAAAACUUUGUAUAUUGAGAAAGUACCCCACCUGCUUCAGAGAAUCAGUUAUUUCUGUCUUUUUUUUUUUUUUUUUUUUGACUUAGGAAAUACACAACACAAGGAAGGCAGUGUAAUCUCUGAAAAAUAAAAACCCAAUUCCUUCUAUUUGUCUGGUCUGGAGUAAUAGUAAGAAAUAAGGGCCCUUCCUCAUUGCCAAUACCAUUUUCUUAUUAAUUCAUCAAGUCAGAUUGGAGUGUGUGUGUGUGUGUGUGUGUGUGUGUGUGUGUGUGUGGUGGUGGUGGUGGUUUGAAUGAGAAUGGCCCCCAUUGGCGCCUGUAUUUGAAUGUUUGAGGCCCAGUUGGUAGAGCUGUUGAGAGGAUUAGGAACUGUGGCCUUGUUGAAGGGGUUGUGUUCCCGGGAGUGAGCUGAGGUUUUAAGGCUUGUGCUUCCAGUUGGCUCUUUCCUUCCCUUGUGGGCCAGGGUUAAGCUCUCAGCUGCUGCUCCAGUGCUCCGUGCUCCUGCCUGCUGUCGCCACCAUAAGGUCACCGACUCUAGACCUCUGGAACUGUAAGCAAGUCCCCAAUAAGCUUCCCUGGGCAUGGUUUCUCCUCACAGCAAUAGAAAAGUAACUAAGACAAUGUGUAAAAGAUUUUUUUCAGAUAUUUGGAAAGAAAAAGAGGUUUAUAUGCAGGCUACACUGUGAUAAAUUCUAGGCAAAGGAGUGAUUUGCUAAGAGAACAUAGGAAGGCUGCUGAGACAGUGAAGCAAGAAUGGAGACUGGCAUGUUUUCUGGUAUGAGGCAGAGUUCGCCUCUUGAAAAGGUCAGCUUGUUUCUGUAUGUGAUUCGUGAUGACAAGUCCAUCAGGAGUGAGUCUGCUCCGGGGCUCAGCGUCUACUGUCAUCCUUAGCCAUCAGGGUCCCACAAGGAUGCAGAGUGGCUUGAGAUGUGGGAUGGAGAAGCUCGACUUAUGCUCAUUGGAGCUGGGGAGGCGGCAUCUUCACGCCUCUGCUGGUGGGCAGGUACUCAAAGGAGCUUAGACCUUUCCAGGAAAGUAAUGCUAUUGGCUGGGUUGGUAGUGACCUGGCAUUAGGUGACUUUGUAAACAGUGGGCCACACUAAACCGUAAAUGGCAUGUGAGCUAGGGAAGAAUGUACCCAUCUUCAGUGUGACUUUCUUCCACACACAGGGUGUAUAGAAACAGAACGGGUAGAAUGCAUAUACAUAAAGGGUUUCUUAGAAUGGUUUACACGAUGUGGUCUGGCUAGCCCAACAGUGGCUGUCUCCCGAUGGAAAGGCCAAGAAUCCCAUUUCUUCAGCCCACGAGGCUGCCACCUCAGCAGUCCAGAGGAGCCUAGAGAACUGCUGCCCUUCAGUCUGUGUUGGAAUCCCAAAGAAGCAGGUUCGAACACCAGCAAAGGAAAGCCUCAGUCACGGGAUAGAUGAACUCUAUAGCCAGCAAGUGCGAGGGCCAGCAGGCAGAAAGUAAAAGCUUCCUUUGUCUGUGUCCUUUCGUGUGACCUGGAUUUAGGAUGGGUCUUUGAACUCAAGGGAUCCAAUCAGGAAAAUCCAUCGCAGGUGUGCCCAGCUGCUUGCGUUUCAGUUGAUUCCAGCGACACGUCAGGUUGACAGCUGAGAUCAGCCAUCAUAUAGGGUAGGUAAUUCCUCAUAGCACUUUAGGGUUACUCUCUAACAGGUUAAAAAUGUUGAACCAUCUCCAUUGCUGGGAGCGAUUGCUUGUGCUAACUGCCAGCACAGCAGAGCUAGUUGGUCAGGCUAAGCAAUGUGGAAAGCCCCAUCUUACCUGUAGGCAGGGAUCCAGCUGAGCACCAGCAUUCGAAGCUCUCUGCUGCUACUCCACAGUUUGGGUCGUGUGGCUUGCUCCCUCCUUGACAAUGGGUGGCCGUCAUGUAACUAGCUCCCUUGAAUGGCUGCCAUUGUGACUUCUCUGUCCUGAUGGAUCAUACCCUGGAGCGGUGAGCCAAAUUGUUCACCGUGUUGCUUUAGUCAGAGCACUUAGUCACCACCGCAGUAAAUAAGCCAAGAGGCCAGCGUGACCUCAGGAGGCCAGGGUGAUGGCGCACAUCUGUAGUCUAGCAGUCAGGAGACAUAGGCAGGAGGCUCACAUGUUCAGCAUCACAUCGCUACAUAGCAAGUUCCAGGCUAGCCUGGGCUAUUAGAGACCAUGUCUAACUAAUUUUUUUUAAAGUUCUGUUUACUUGGAAUACUAAUUUACUUUGUGUUCUAUCCAAGAGAAGCCCCACCGUAGUUAAGAGAGAACAAAUACCCUUCUCCUACUCUCCCUCCCCCCAACACACACACACACACACACACACACACACACACACACCGUGUCAAACAGCAGAUUCUUUCUCUAUCACCAGGCUGGUCUUGAACUUAGGAUCCUUCUGCUCAACCUCUCAGUCCUAGUAUUCCAGAGAUGACACCGUACCCAGACAACCCUGUCCCUGCAUUGCUCCAGGAAGUGUCCUGACUGCGGAAGCAAGGGAAUGGAUGACACAUGGACACAGAGAAGCCAGAGCUGGGUGGAAGGGGUCCUCUGACGGCACCCUGGAAACCGCAGAAUAGAAGGUGGGGUUAUCACACACAGAUAAGCAAGACGGCAAGGCUAUUAUAUACAGGUGAACAAGGAGGCAGGGCUAGCUAAUCGAGGUAGGGGCAGUCUCCAUAAGAGAGCCAUGUUUAGGCUACACACAUCCAGGGAGAGAAAGCUAUAGAGGACAUUAUCUGUACACACUGUCAACAUUUACAUUCAGACCAGAGGAAGGCUUUGCAGUCCCUUUGAGCAUCAAUAGUAAAGGGUUUGCCACUCCCACGAGGCUGAGGCAAUGGUGUUUUUGACGAGGCUAUGGCCCUUCAAGAAUACACAUUCACUCAGGGCUUCACUCAAUCCCUACACUCGGCUGAAUUUAUACAUUUAAAUAAAACAUGUGCCAAGGCCAGAUGGUGAUAGCGCAUGCCUUUAAUCCCAGCACUCGGGAGGCAGAGGCAGGCGAAUCUCUGUGAGUUCGAGGCCAGCCUGAUCUACACAAGGUAGUUCCAGGAUAGGCUCCAAAGCUACAGAGAAAUCCUGUCUUGAAACACUAAAAUAAAAAAAAAAUGUGCCUAAGAAAAUGAUAUUUCAAAAUGAAAAAAAUAUAAUUUUAAAUGUAUUAUCAUCUUGAUUUGAAUUAAACAUAAUCAGCUAACUUUUAAAAGUCAGUUCAUCUGCUGCUCAUUCUUUCUUGAUUGGUACCCACAUUCCGGCUCUCCACUCCCAGUGAGUGUGGCUUGUGGGCCCUUGCUUCCUGAUGCCCACAGCAAUGGCUCUCAACCUUGCCAGUGCUGCCACCCUUUAAUACAGUUCCUCAUGUUUUGCUGACCCCAACCAUAACAUUAUUUUCGUCGCUACUGUAACUAUAAUUAUGUUACUGUUGUGAGUCAUAAUGUAAAUAUCUGUGUUUUCUGAUGGUCUCAGGUGACCCCUGAGAAAGGGUCAUUUAACCCCCAAAGGGGUUGCUACCCUCAGGUUGACAACUGCUGGUCUAAAGCUUGAGAAAGACGAACUGUUCUGAAGAAAGAAAAGUGUGGUGUGAGAAGGAGGGAUUUAUGGGAGUUAAAGCAAUAAAUAUCAAGUUCAAGUCCCUGAAUCCCCUGUGUGUGUAGAGAUGCAAGGUUGUGCUAUGUAAAUGAGACUUCCCUUAGUGUGUCUGUGUCUCCAGGACUGCCCUGCAGUUACACAGCACACUAAACUCCAGCCCAUCCUCUGACUCUUCCUGGAAUGGACUGCAGGGACAGCUGCCGUUGCCACCUUCCCACUGACAUCUGCUGAUCUCCAUGGUCCCAGAGUGCCACGCUGCAGGAAAGCCCAGUCCAGGUCCUCUGACUUUUCCAACACUAAAUCUCUUGCUUGAUGUUCCUACGUGCCUGGAAUCGUUACUGAGCACAGCGAAUCAAGUCACAGUUCCACUAACCUAAAUCUAUGUGCAAGUUAAAAAAGGAAAACAACCAAUCAGAAGAAACAAAAACUUUGGUGAUGAUUAUAAUAACUCACAGGAAUUUUCAGCUGGAAUUGGGUUUUGAGCACAGUAAACAAAACUAUAUACAUAAAGUAGACAUUGCCUAUUCAUCUCUCUCUCCAUUGAAAACAUUUUGUGGGGUCAGGUGUUGUGGCACAUGUGUUUAAUUCCAGUCCUCAGGGAGGCAGAGGAAGGUGAGUCUCUGUGAAUUCCGGGACACCCAAGACUACACAGAGCAACCCUAUC